GACGAACGCUGGCGGCGUGCCUAAUACAUGCAAGUAGGACGCACAGUUUAUACCGUAGCUUGCUACACCAUAGACUGUGAGUUGCGAACGGGUGAGUAACGCGUAGGUAACCUGCCUGGUAGCGGGGGAUAACUAUUGGAAACGAUAGCUAAUACCGCAUAAUAUUAAUUAUUGCAUGAUAAUUAAUUGAAAGGUGCAAUUGCACCACUACCAGAUGGACCUGCGUUGUAUUAGCUAGUAGGUGAGGUAACGGCGCACCUAGGCGACGAUACAUAGCCGACCUGAGAGGGUGAUCGGCCACACUGGGACUGAGACACGGCCCAGACUCCUACGGGAGGCAGCAGUAGGGAAUCUUCGGCAAUGGACGAAAGUCUGACCGAGCAACGCCGCGUGAGUGAAGAAGGUUUUCGGAUCGUAAAGCUCUGUUGUCAGAGAAGAACGGGUGUGAGAGUGGAAAGUUCACACUGUGACGGUAUCUUACCAGAAAGCGACGGCUAACUACGUG
rnacentral:rRNA from 1 species